GAUGAACGCUGACAGCAUGCUUAACACAUGCAAGUCAACUGUGGCGGACGGGUGAGUAACGCGUAAAGAACUUGCCUCACAGAUAGGGACAACGUUUGGAAACGAAUGCUAAUACCUGAUACUGUGAGAGAGCUUUGCGUCCCAUUAGCUAGUUGGAGAGGUAACGGCUCACCAAGGCGAUGAUGGGUAGCCGGCCUGGGAGGGUGAUCGGCCACAAGGGGACUGAGAGACGGCCCUUACUCAUACGGGAGGAAGCAGCGGGGAACAUUGGACAAUAGGCCAAAGUCUGAUCCAGCAAUUCUGUGUGCACGAUGAAGUUUUCGGAAUGUAAAGUGCUUUCAGUUGGGAAGCAGUACCAACAGAAGAAGUGACGGCUAAAUACGUGCCAGCAGCCGCGGUAAUUC
rnacentral:rRNA from 1 species